UUAGGGCUGGCCAUCAAAACCUGAUCUCAUCAGAUCUCAGAAGCAAAUCAAGUUUGGGCCUGGUUCAUAUUUGAAUGGGAAACUGCUGGGAAUCCCAGUUGUGUCCUUAG
rnacentral:rRNA from 1 species